GGCUGGGCUGGGCUGGGCUGGGCUGGGCUGGCCACCUCAGCAUCGUGCUUGCUUGCUUGCUGUCUUC
rnacentral:miRNA from 1 species